UCGUGCACAAGAUGUAGAUUUGAUUCACACAAGAGAAUUCAUUAGUUGGUUUGAAGAACGUAUUAUACAAAUGCGACAUGAAGGUCCAAUUUCUGAACACAUACUAUCAUUGUCUCGUGGACCAAGUACAUCAGUUACAUGUUAUAAAGGAUACAUCAUUAAUGGGUUCAGAUUUCACACAAGAGAACGAGAAAA